UGGGGAAUUUUGGACAAUGGGGGCAACCCUGAUCCAGCCAUGCCGCGUGCGGGAAGAAGGCCUUCGGGUUGUAAACCGCUUUUAUUCGGGAAGAAGGAGUAGGGGCUAAUACCCUCUAUGACGGACGGUACUGGAUGAAUAAGCACCGGCUAACUACGUGCCAGCAGCCGCGGUAAUACGUAGGGUGCGAGCGUUAAUCGGAAUUACUGGGCGUAAAGCGUGCGCAGGCGGUUCUGAAAGUCAGCUGUGAAAGCCCCGGGCUUAACCUGGGAACUGCGGUUGAAACUACAGGACUAGAAUCUGGCAGAGGGGGGUGGAAUUCCACGUGUAGCAGUGAAAUGCGUAGAGAUGUGGAGGAACACCGAUGGCGAAGGCAGCCCCCUGGGCUGAGAUUGACGCUCAGGCACGAAAGCGUGGGGAGCAAACAG
rnacentral:rRNA from 1 species